CGUCGCUCACCAAUUUGAGAGCGCGCAUAUUGGUUAUUAGGAAAAAUAAUACUGAAUAUGAAUUAAUGACAUGUAAAUUCACUUGAUAUAAUCGUAGCUCGUAAGAACGGCAACAACGCAAUCUAAAAAGUUACACAUUUAGUGGAGGAGGAGGAAGAUUGAUCAGCUGUGCGAGGUGUGUAUGACCAAAUGUAUCGUCACAAAGUGGUAUCUGUACGUCAGGUGACACAAUGGAAUUUGUUUUAUGCCGUUAUUUAUUUUGAGUUACUUGUAGGUAAUAAAUACUUGAGGAAAGAUACGCAUUGUGGAGAUUGUCGCCUUCCAGACAGCAUUUUUUGUUGUUCCUGAACACCGGACGCCGUACAGAAAAUGCGCAAUUUAGUCUCUGACCAGUUUGAUCGACUGUUGAUGAUAACCGACAUCUAUGGUGUCCUUUUUCUGUUUUUUCUGGAAAAAGAUGACUCUAUUCAUCAAACUUUUUGGCAAUUCGUUUCCAUCGGGAUCUCUACGUAGCAAAUGCCUGCUUUUUCAUUUUCUUGCUCUUUUUAUCUUGCGGAAUUCCGAACUCCACCUUUUGGCUGCCUUCAACCUGAUCUGUGGAUUCUGAUUCUGCUAUCGUUUCCAAGCUACUCGUGGUCAUUACUGUCACGUUUUGAAACGAGAAGGAUGUUCAUAAACACUUGAAGAUUUACUCUUCAUCAAAUCGUCAAUGUCAGCCAAGAUUUCCGUGCAAUCUAAUCCUUCCUGUAGUCGAAGGAUUGCGACGGCUACAUUCAUUUCGAAUCCAGUCAACCAGUCGUUUUUGUAUCCCAUCAUCAGGAUGUUUGGCUUCACUUUGCCCAAUCCCGUGAGGCCAAGCAUUGAAGCAACGCCCGUGUGUAGAUUCGAGUUAUCCGCAACGGAACAGAAUCCCUUGAUGUUGGCGAAUCGCAGGUGUACCGCUGUAGCCAGUGAAUCCCUUUGCUUUUUCCAAGUCAUCCGACGGGCCCAUAAUGCUUCCAGCAACGAAGUUAGAGAGGGAAAUCAUCAUAAUGAGCAACAUAAUAUUCUUCAUCUAUAAUUGUAAAAUUUGGAUCCAAGUCCGCAGAGAGUGCAAAUGAAUAACAUGGUGAGGGUGCCGAUGAUGCGAAUGUUAUUGUCACCUCCAUCUAGGAUUAUCAAUCCGCCAUAUUCCUUCAUCAUGUCCUGCACGGUUUGAGCGAAACCAACGGCGUUGAGGGAGGAAUCCAUCGCAUUGGCGAUGGUAAAGAUGACGCCGAUUGAACCUCCAAACUCAGGACCCAAAACUCUUGACCUAAUUUCAUCGGUUGUUAGAAGUAGGUUGUUUUGUUUUUCAUUAUUAUUCUUAUAAUGCCUUACAUGACAAAAUAAGUGCCGCCUGAAAUGGAUAAUAGCGUAGACAUUAUUCUUGAUUCAAAGAACGAUUUUGACUAAAUGAAUUUAUUACCUCCACCGAUCUCUCCAUUUGUUGAGAUAGCGGACAUGGACAAGGCCGUCACCAAAGUGAUGAACGUCGAAAUACCGAUGAUAACCAAAGUUUCGCCUUUGUGUUUAACAGAAUAUUUAAUAGAUUUUAAGUCCGAUUAGGUUUUAGUUUUGAAACAGCGAAAAAUAGCUCACCUAAUCCUGCUUGCCCUACUACCCACGAAAGUCGCAAGAAAAGCAUAACACCCCAAAUGCUCAUCAUAUUGCGGAUUAAAACUCCUUCGAUCCAACCGAAUUUGACGUCUUCUUUUUUAGUUUCUUUCACGGUUUCCUCAGUUAUUUUUGGCCCACUCUCAGUUGGUGUCUGACGAUCACGCGAAUUAUCGCAAAUCGAAACGUAUGAAUGUCGUAAACAAUGCCAUUUUGAACCGCAAUCAUUUAGAGAGAACAUUUACCUCCCCAAAAUCCUGAAUCAUUAUCUCUUCGUUUACUGAAGGUUGGCUAGGAAAUCCGGUAAUUAUCGAUACUAGGAAUGACAUCCCGGCUCACGUUGCGCAUCAAUUGGCGGAACGAAGCAGCAGAAGCCCUCCCCUUUUGAAUCAGAACUGAGGCUCCUAAGAGACAAUGGAGGCAUUUCGUGCAAUGUGGGAGAGUCUUCUGUUGGACCCAUCACGUUUAUUUUAGAAGUGACUUUCGACUGACUUUCAACCAAAUCAAAUCAGCAACCAAGGAAAUCAGAAUCAGAA